AGAGUUUGAUCCUGGCUCAGAACGUACGCUGGCGGCACGCCUAACACAUGCAAGUCGAACGAAGUAGCAAUACUUAGUGGCAGACGGGUGAGUAACAUGUAGGUAUCUACCCUUUGGCCUGGAAUAACACGAGGAAACUUGUGCUAAUACCGGAUAAGUCUUUACAGAGAAAGCUUUAUGCACCAUUGGAUGAGCCUGCACUAGAUUAGUUUGUUGGUGGGGUAAUGGCCUACCAAGACUGUGAUCUAUAGCUGAUUUGAGAGGAUGAUCAGCCACAUUGGGACUGAGACACGGCCCAAACUCCUACGGGAGGCAGCAGUGGGGAAUCUUGCACAAUGGAGGAAACUCUGAUGCAGCGAUGCCGCGUGAGUGAAGAAGGCCUUUGGGUUGUAAAGCUCUUUCGUCGGGGAAGAAAAUGACUGUACCCGAAUAAGAAGGUCCGGCUAACUUCGUGCCAGCAGCCGCGGUAAUACGAAGGGACCUAGCGUAGUUCGGAUUUACUGGGCUUAAAGAGUUCGUAGGUGGUUGAAAAAGUUGGUGGUGAAAUCCCAGAGCUUAACUCUGGAACUGCCAUCAAAACUUUUCAGCUAGAGUAUGAUAGAGGAAAGCAGAAUUUCUAGUGUAGAGGUGAAAUUCGUAGAUAUUAGAAAGAAUACCAAUUGCGAAGGCAGCUUUCUGGAUCAUUACUGACACUGAGGAACGAAAGCAUGGGUAGCGAAGAGGAUUAGAUACCCUCGUAGUCCAUGCCGUAAACGAUGUGUGUUAGACGUUGGAAAUUUAUUUUCAGUGUCGCAGCGAAAGCGAUAAACACACCGCCUGGGGAGUACGACCGCAAGGUUAAAACUCAAAUGAAUUGACGGGGACCCGCACAAGCAGUGGAGCAUGUGGUUUAAUUCGA
rnacentral:rRNA from 1 species